UACGGAGGGUGCAAGCGUUAUCCGGAUUCACUGGGUUUAAAGGGUGCGUAGGAGGGCAGGUAAGUCAGUGGUGAAAUCUCCGAGCUUAACUUGGAACUGCCGUUGAUACUAUCUGUCUUGAAUAUUGUUGGAGGUGAGCGGAAUAUGUCAUGUAGCGGUGAAAUGCUUAGAUAUGACAUAGAACACCAAUUGCGAAGGCAGCUCGCUACACAUAUAUUGACUCUGAGGCACGAAAGCGUGGGGAUCAAACAGG
rnacentral:rRNA from 1 species